rnacentral:sRNA from 1 species
UACCCGUUGUUUUUGUUUGAGCAAUGGAGGGACG